rnacentral:rRNA from 1 species
GAUGAACGCUGGCGGCGUGCCUAAUACAUGCAAGUCGAGCGAACAGACGAGGAGCUUGCUCCUCUGACGUUAGCGGCGGACGGGUGAGUAACACGUGGAUAACCUACCUAUAAGACUGGGAUAACUUCGGGAAACCGGAGCUAAUACCGGAUAAUAUAUUGAACCGCAUGGUUCAAUAGUGAAAGACGGUUUUGCUGUCACUUAUAGAUGGAUCCGCGCCGCUUUAGCUAGUUGGUAAGGUAACGGCUUACCAAGGCGACGAUGCGUAGCCGACCUGAGAGGAUGAUGAGCGACACUGGAACUGAGACACGGUACGGACGCCUACGGGAGGCAGCAGUGGGGAAUAUUGGACAAUGGGCGCAAUCCUGAACCAGCCAUACCGCGUAGGUGAAGAAGGACUUCGGGUUGUAAAGCGCUUUUGUUGGAAAAGAAAAGCAGCAGGUUACUACCACGCUGUUCUGACGGUACCCAAAGAAUAAGCACCGGCUAACUUCGUG